CCUGUCCGACGGUCGGUCACAGGUCGGGAUGUGAUCCGCGGGGCACACGCUCCGGUCGGGAUUGAACCACGAA
rfam:Natrinema sp. J7-2, complete genome.